rnacentral:rRNA from 1 species
AAGGAGCAACUCUGGGUGCAAUAUUAUUUUUUUGGGGAGGUAAUUUUUUUUUUUAAUGGAAGGAAUUAGGGUAGUUCAUGAAUAAAAGCGGCGUCUACGUGCCGGCAGCCGCGGUGAUUCGUAGGGUGCGAGCAUUAUUCUGGGUGACUGUGCGUAAAGAGUUGCGUAGGGGGUUUGUAAAGCUAAUAGUUAAAUCUGGGGGCUCAACCUCACAGACUAUUAUUCGAACUCACUAACUCGAGAGUGGUAGAGGUAACUGGAAUUUCUUGUGUAGGAGUGAAAUCCGUAGAUAUAAGAAGGAACACCAGUGGCGUAGGCAGGUUACUGGACCAUUUCUGACACUGAGGCACGAAAGCGUGGGGAGCGAACCGGAUUAGAUACCCGGGUAGUCCACGCCGUAAACGAUGGAUACUAGCUGUUGGAGGUAUCGACCCCUUCAGUAGCGAAGCUAACGCGUUA